UGCGGGCGGGGGCAGCGCGGCGGUCUGGCAACUCUCCCCGCAGCGCUCCCCCCCCACCCC
ensembl:miRNA gga-mir-12279 gga-mir-12279